rnacentral:rRNA from 1 species
AAAGUCGGACGGACCCUAAACCCUCGAAAGGGAGGCCGUACCGAAGGUGGAGUCANGAUUGGGGUG